CGCUCUCCAGACCACGCUUGGGACUUUCUCACUUUUAUUUAAGAGUCCACCAGGGGAAGAAGGAAAAAAAUAUCCAGAGGAGAUCCGAGUCAAUUGGGAAGAAAAAAGUUCAAAAGGGUGUCCACAGCAGCGAAAAAGCCCAGACUCUGCCGGCCUUCAAACGACAACAGCGCUUUCAGGAGGGUGCGGGGAGACCGUUGCCUGCAGGGACCUGACCAGAAACCUGGCACCCUCAGCCACAUCGCCCCUUUUUUCGGUCAGAAAGGAUUCCAGCUCCACCACCGGGGGGCCCCCUUCCUGGUGCUGGGCAAACACUGAGGCUGUUAAACCAGGACACCAGCGCGUGCUUCGCUCUUCUACAUAUGCUCCUCCUAGUGCUGGAGAAGGCACCUCUGAGGCAGAAAUGUUGACUAGGUUUUUUUUUUGUCUCCUAUUCAGCCUGGCAAAUAACAAACUGUCCUCCCUGCACUCACCCGUGCAGUCACCCGCCAUCCCUAGCACCCCUGCUCAGUAUAGCAGGGGGGGGGCCUCCCCCACGGGAGUGCUCAAUAUGGGGCUAGACGAAAGGGAGGAUUGCCCUCCUGGAACUCAAUAGCACUUUCUGUUUCUCCCCGUAAAACCAAAGCUAUGGCAGUUCUGUAAUUUUGAAGAUGGUGGAGGGGGGAGGAGUGGUUGGCAAAGGAAUAACUGUCACCCUUUUGUGACUCAUCAGCUGGCACUGGUGCCAUGCCUUUUGCUAUUUACCCGCCUCACUCACGAGGAGCUGCUGUCAUUCACAAGGUCUUGCCCUCCAGAAAGAACCCCCCAGCUCUGAACAGCCACCCUCUGAAGGACUAUGAGAGUCACUCCAUCCCUUGCUGACCUGCUGGUGGGCAAGCUAGCCCCACUUAUGUAACUCUGGGUUUGAUGCUCAGUCCUACUGCUGCUGCUUUUUGAAAUCCCAAAGGGGGAAAAAGCCCUAACCAAACACAACAGUAAACAAGUCUGCCCUGUUUAAUGUGGUUACCAUCAGACAUCUGGAAAGAUGGUUUGAUCCUGGCAGCUCACAUUGUUUUCACGAGCAGCCAAAAAGAAUAUUUCAAAUGUUUGCAUUGAGACAAAUUGAUAGAGAGCCUGUGGUGAGGCCCGCUGCAAAUGAAAACUGUCUUGGAGCUGGUGGGGGAAACCUUCCCCUGUCUCUCUCCCCCUCUCUUCCCUUCUCUCUUCUCACCUCCCUUCUUCCUCUUUCUCUCCCCUCUCCCCCACCAUCCCCCCUUCUCCUCCUGGCCUAGUUAGGGACUGGUAACCCCAGCCCACACUGCUGCACACACCCUCUUUCCUGGCUCACCAGAGACUGUCCUGCUUCUCCCUUUCCCAGACUGGGUAGGGCUGGUGACCGGUAGCUGGCUACCAUGGGUGCCCAUUCCACCGGCUGUGCCGGCUUCCAAGUCAGGGGAAGCUCACAGCCAAGCAAGCCAGGCCAGCAUUUAAAACUAAAGCUACCAACUGGGCAAGGGAGGUAGGGGUGGGGGCACCAGCGAAACAGCCCCCCCCCCCCAUUUCUAAGCCUAGGAUCACUUAUAGAAAGCAUGCACAGGUGGGCGAAUAUUCAGGAAACAUUUGGAUUUGGGGCAUUUUCAUUGGAACUUUGGUGGGAUGACUUGCCUCGCACCAUCGACACUUGACAAUAUUUUUAAAGAUGAGGAAGUCCUGCUUCCCCAGGGAGGUGAACGCCGGGGUGAAACGUGUCUUGGCUCGCUCCAUGUCAGCCCUUCUGACCCGGUCAAGACUUUCCAGACGCGACUCCCGGGCUGCUUAGGUCACAGCCCCGGUUGGGGGUGGGAGGAUGCGACAACCGGAGCCGGGUGCCUCCGCAUCCCGGGACCGCUCAGUCACUUGAAACCACGAAGGAUGCCAGGUCUGGCUGUGCGUCCAGGGCGUAUCCUUUCCCUGCUCCUCCACCCCCAGCCCCCAGCCCCGCGGCCCUGGCGCGGCCUCGGCGGGUAUUCGAGCUGGCAGGGGUGGGGACGGGCAGAGGCGGGCGCGCGGGAGAGGGAUGGGCUAGGAGCGCCAGAACUCCAGACUGCACCACUGUGGCUUCGAGUGUCUGGCCCCUCGCUCGAGGCCAUAAUUAAUUUGAGAUUUAUUUUUAUUGGAGAACUCGGGUCUCGUCUGACCUUAGCCAAACAAGGCAGCUCGAGCCGCCCCUGGAUGCGCUUGAAUGCCGGGGAAUAUUUCUGCAGGAAGGCUCUGCAGUCGCGCCUGCUUUGAAUUUGUUUCUCAGACUUCAUCUACUCACAGAUUGAAGGAAGAUUUAGAACCUCUGCUCGCCCUGCCCGCUCCCCACGCUCCUUCUGGCCUGAGCGCCGAGCUGGUUCCAAACUCUACGUGGGAGGCCGCGGCGGCGGGAGGGCCGGGGGCGCACAGCCCCACACGGGGAGGGUCUCCAGGCCCCGCGCCUUGGCGCUCAGGGGCCUGGUCCCUAGACCACGCGGCGUCGAGGAGAAACCUCGAGGGAGUCCAAGGCCGACCCGAGAGAGCAGGCUGACAAGAGGUGGAGACCAGCCAGGUGUCGGGGCUCUCACCCAGUGGCGGCGCCUAGUUGGGGGCUUUGUGGGGAAGGGGAGUUUCAGCCUCCCGGCCGCCCAAACAACGUCCGUUCUGAGUACAGAUCUGGUCCUUGAGAUGCGGCUUCAGGACCUGCCGGCCCGAUGCCGCCCCCGGGCGUGGUCGCUGUGCGCAUUCUGGGGUGCCAGCCUCCUUCGGUCUGCCGGAUGGGGGUGUCACCCACAGAAGGCAGCAUGCGUUGACCCAGCAGGCUGGUUGGUGAUGCAGCGAGAGCAAGGAGUCUAGGAAAUUCGAACAGGCGGUGGAAGUGGGAGGAGAACCCUGCCAGUCUUCUAGGGCGCGCCAGGGGCCUACAGGGAUGUGACCCGCGCCCUGGGAGUGACAAGCGCCUUGCAGAGUUCGCCGUCAGUUUCACCCCAAUGUGUCUGCUGCGCCCUCCACCCGGUAUCUGCUAGUUCUGGAACGUUCUGGUUGAACUCAUUGUGGGACUGGCUCUCCGGUUUUCAACCCUAGCUUUGCGCUUACCAGUUCUGUGACCUCGAUAACUUCCUUAACCUCUCUGUACCUCAUCUGUACAUUGGCUUUAUAAAAAGGACCUACCUCAAAGAGCUGUUGUAAAGAUGAAAUGAGUUAGAACUUGACGACAGCAGAACUUUACGUUAUUAUUUGUAUUUUGGUCUGCCCCUCACGAACUGUUAUGUUGAGCUCAGUUUCUCAUCUGCAAAAUGGACUACCUCUGAAGUUUGUUAUAGUAUUAAACGAGUUAGUACAGGUAGAGUGCUUGCAACAGGGCCUGGCCAAGAUAAGGACUAUCUCUGUGUUACGAUCAAUAUUCACUUACUGCACCCCAGUGUCUUCCCCUUUCUCCCUGCCUCUUGCCAGCCUCCUGUCCUCCAUAAGCACUCUCCUGCGGGUAAACCCCCUGAGCACUCUGUGGUUCUCAGAACCCAUAUCGUUGCCCAGGUGGAGUGGGCACCGUUGACUCCUGAGGGCCGGGCUCGGCUCCUGGCUCCCGGGGCUCUGGGUGCCUGGGCCCGCGGUGUUUGUCAACAAACCCUGAGCCGGUUGUCUGACGCAGAAUGGCAGGGGCUGGUCCGCCAGGUUCUGUUUGUGACCCCUCUGGCAAAUGGUCGGGGUGGGAAGCCGGCGAAACAGACCCAAGAUUGUCCCUGCCUCCCAGACCUUUCGCCGUCAUCAAUGCACCCCUUUGUGCAACAAUACAAACUUUGUGGCUGCUGAAAAAUCCAUUUUUUUUCCCUCUUGAAAAGAGCUCCUGCGGUGAGCGACUCCUCUGGCUGCCCACAGCUCCCGGACUGCAGCCUCUCUCCCUGCUUCCCCGACACAACCUCUCGCUCCCCCGGUCGGGUUUGUUUUCUCUCUGACUCUUGGCCUAGGUCAGGCUUCUGGGCUCCCAACUCACCUCUCUAGGGUUCGUCCUCCCUGAGGCUUGGGGAACCUGCCUGUGUGCAGACUUAGGGGCCAAAGUGAGAGAGAAAGCAGAGCGCGCGCGAGCAACUCUUUGCCCAGGGGCCACUUGCAGCACCGAGGGCAAAGCUGGAAGGGAGGGUGAGUUUCGCCAGUCUGGGUGAGCUGGGAGUCUUGGGGGUGGGUGGGGUCACAGCUUGCUUAACUUCUCCGGACAACCGGAGACCGCAAACCAGCUGUCUUUAGACUAAUUAUAGCAGUUCUGCUACUUCUUGGGAGCCCUUCGUCCAUCUGAUUAUCGAUACAAGGACUCACUCAUUUUUCGUUCAUUCCUCACUGAUUUAACAUCCCUUCUGGGACAAGCUUCCAGGACCCGAACUCCCCGGGUCUAAACUUCUUCAGACCCCAGGUAGGGGAAGAUGCUACCGUGUGUCAACAAAUUUCCCUUUAAAGAUUUAGAAGGUGGGCUGAAUGCAAAACUGGGGCUCCUGAAUUAGACCUGAUAGUCGCACUCUGCCGAGAGGGUCACGUGCAGGCAGAGCCACCGCGCUUGCUUU